rnacentral:rRNA from 1 species
CGUAGUGUGAAUUGCAGAAUUCCGCGAAUCAUCGAGUCUUUGAACGCAAGUUGCGCCCGAGGCUUGUCCAAGGGCAUUUCCGCUAGAGCGUC